UAACUAAUAGUUUUUUUUCACUUGCCAUACCAUAAAGCAUUUUUUUUAAAGUUGUUAGGUCAAUGUACUAUAUUCUUUCUGAUAUUGGCCAUCAACUAGAGAACAAAAAUUCUAAUUUUUCCAUGACAUCAUUUUUUGCUACCGUUGCCAUGAAUUAGGGAUUGUUUUUUCCAUAGCCAUGGCAGCAUAUUAGAUCGUUCGCCAUGAGUUAGAGAUCAUUCGCCAUGUGAGUGUACUAUGCACAUAACAAUUGUUUUUAAAACUUUGCCAUGCCAUUGUACUAUGUUCAUUCCGAAUUCACCAUUAAUUAGGUAACGGAAGUCCUAAAAUUGCCAUGACAUCAUUAUUCAACAUUCGCCAUAAUUAGAGAUCUUUUUUUUGCAUGGACCAUGGCAAAUUGCAUCGCUAGACCAUGAAAAUUUUACUUGAAAAUACAUGGAAAUUUAUUUGCAUAGCCAUGAAAAUUUAAUUUUGCCAUGGACCAUUGCAAGUUGUUUUUAGUUCCACGGCAAAAUAAUUUCCAGAGCCACAACAAUUUAGUUUCUUCCUGGACCAUUUCAAAUCUUAUUUCCUAGCUCAUGUCAAAUUUAUUUUGAAAGACAUUGUAACUUUUUUUCCAUAGCAUGGCAAUUUUAUUUUUAGAAUCAUCACCAUUUAGUUAUUUCCUAGACCCAUGGAAAAUUUAUUUAUAUCACGACAAGUAUCAUGGAAAAUUUUAUUUUAUUAUUUCUACCAUAUGUUAUGAAAAAUAAAAUAUAGUGCAUGGCAUUUCUAUUAUAAUAUCAUGUGGAAAUUCAUUUAUGUCAUUUUUUAUUUCAUACGCAAAUUUGCCACGUACUUGGAAAUUUAGAUGUCAUGGCAAAUUAAAUUUUCGAGAGUUGUGUUGCAUUAAUUUUCCUGAUCAUGUUUGCAAUGUUUUAUCUCAGCCAAGGCAAGUUUUGGUAAGUUACAUGGAUUUUUUGUUAUUUCUACCAUGAUAAUUUUUAUUUUUAUUGCAUGUGAUUGAAAUGUUGUGACAAAAAAAAUAUAGAGCAUGGCAUUUUUAUUACAAGAUCAUGGCAAAAUUCUUGCACUUCUUUUAAAUUAUUUAGUGCGCAAAUUUGUCAUGUACCUCGAAAUUUAGAUGUCGUGGCAAAUUAAAUUUGAUAGCUACGGCGAUUCUUUUUUCCUGGACAAUAUUUUGAACCGGGGGCCAUGCGAUAGUUUCAUUAUAAAAGGAUGCAAAAAAAAGUUUUUAAAGGCAUGUGUUUUCGUUGUGCUAAAGUUGGGCCUUUUUUGUCCAUUUUUUCCUUAUAACGUGUUGUUUUAACAAACCCUUUUAAGGGCGUCAAAUAUUUUUUGACGUGAAAGUGGUUUACGCUGGUGGUCGAUGCUAUCCCAUCAAACAAAACAUUCAUUCUCCCCUCCUAGGGGUACGAUUUGUUCGAUCUAGAUCAUUCGUUCGCUCGGUAUUGGGAUUCGUGUGCCUUUGGUGAUUGUCGACGGCAUCUAGCCCAUGUUUCGACAGUAGCAGCUCGACGGUGCUGCACGACAGUAGCUUGACUGCGCUUCAACACUCAAGCAUUGUUCUUGGCGCGACAAGGCUAGACAUCAGAAGUGAUUUGCCACCCGAUUUAUUGUUUUAUCUCUCGCUAAUUGCAAUCAAGUAAGGUGCUCGUCGAAUGGUCUAGGUAGGGAAAGAUCGACAUAUCAGACGUGCCUUGAGGCAAAGCCAAAGGAGCCGGCUCCAAAGCAUCUUGAUAUGGCAAACCACAUAUCUUUCCCUAUUGAUGAUUAGCACUAAUACGAGAGUACAAAAUUAUUUGUGACAAUUGACAAAGAUAUGACCCACACGUAUUUUCUUUUUUGAUGUAAAUCACAUGUCAUUCAUUCAACAAUUGCACUACAACCCUACAAGUAGUCAGGAUAUAGAAGCAACCGAAAGACUAUAUUUAUUUCUUCUGUACUCUCUCUUCCUCAAGGCAUAUUGGAGCAGAUUGAGAGAAUCAUGCGCCAGUGUCUGUGGAGAGGGAACACGGAUACCCCACGCCAAUCAUUGGCUGCUUGGGAUCUAGUCCGUCGGCCUAAGAAGUUGGGCGGUCUGGGUGUUCUCGAUUUAGGUAUUCAAAAUGAUGCCUUGUUGCUCAAGCAUCUCUUCAAGUUCUUUAACAAGGUGGAUGUGCCUUGGGUCACCCUAAUUUGGGACACUUAUUAUGCCUCCUCUCCACCACAAGUCACUCAGAGCUGUGGUUCUUUUUGGUGGCGAGAUGUCAUGCGCGUAUAUGAUAAUUUUUGCAAGUUGUCUGUUCCGCAAGUGCAUGCUGGUGAUAUGGUGGUCUUCUGGCUUGACCGCUGGCAGCUGGGGAAUAGUGUUGUUUUAAUGCAAGAUCGGUUUCCGCGGCUUCAUUCCUUUGUGAUUGAUGAUACGAUCACAGUUGAGGAAUUUAUGGAGCUACCUGAUUUAACCGAUAACUUCCAUUUGCCUCUGUCGCCAGAAGCUUUCCAAGAAUACACUCGGCUUCAAUCUUUGCUGCCGCUGAUCAACCUUGAUGAGGAAAGGAAAGAUAUAUGGACAUGGCCAUCUAAAUCUGGAGAGUUUAAGUCAAGGAUCUAUUAUGAGUCUUGCUUCUCACAUCUUGUGGUUGAUCCCAUAUUUAAGUGGAUCUGGAAAUGUUCAUGCACUCUCAAGUUCAAGGUGUUUGGUUGGCUCCUUUUGAUGGAUCGUUUGAAUACCAGAGACAUGAUGCAGUCGAAGGAAAUAUGCCCUAGAGGCAAUAAUAAAUUUGUUAUUUAUAUUUCCUUAUAUCAUGAUAAAUGUUUAUUAUUCAUGCUAGAAUUGUAUUAACCGGAAACUUAGUACAUGUGUGAAUACAUAGACAAAACAGAGUGUCACUAGUAUGCCUCUACUUGACUAGCUCGUUGAAUCAAAUAUGGUUAAAUUUCCUAGCCAUAGACAUGAGUUGUCAUUUGAUUAACGGGAUCACAUCAUUAAAGAAUGAUGUGAUUGACUUGACCCAUUCCGUUAGCUUAGCACUUGAUCGUUUAGUAUGUUGCUAUUGCUUUCUUCGUGACUUAUACAUGUUCCUAUGAGUAUGAGAUUAUGCAACUCUCGAAUACCGGAGGAACACUUUGUGUGCUACCAAACGUCACAACGUAACUGGGUGAUUAUAAAGGUGCUCUACAGGUGUCUCCGAUGGUGGUUGUUGAGUUGGCAUAGAUCGAGAUUAGGGUUUGUCACUCCGAUUGUCGGAGAGGUAUCUCUGGGCCCUCUCGCUAAUACACAUCACUACAAGCCUUGCAAGCAAUGUGACUAAUGAGUUAGUUGCGGGAUGAUGCAUUACGGAACGAGUAAAGAGACUUGCCGGUAACAAGAUUUAACUAGGUAUUGAGAUACCGACGAUCGAAUCUCGGGCAAGUAACAUACCGAUGACAAAGGGAACUACGUAUGUUGUUAUGCGGUUUGACCAAUAAAGAUCAUCAUAGAAUAUGUGGGAGCCAAUAUGAGCAUCCAGGUUCCGCUAUUGGUUAUUGACCGGAAACGUGUCUCGGUCAUGUCUACAUAGUUCUCGAACCCGUAGGGUCCGCACGCUUAACGUUCGGUGAUGAUCGGUAUUAUGAGUUUAUGUGUUUUGAUGUACCGAAGAUAGUUCGGAGUCCCGGAUGUGAUCACGGACAUGACGAGGAGUCUCUAAAUGGUCGAGACAUAAAGAUUGAUAUAUUGGACGGCUAUAUUCGGACACCUGAAUUGUUCCGGGUGAUUUCGGAGAAAACCGGAGUGCCAGAGGGUUACCGGAACCUCCCCGGGAGAACUAAUGGGCCUCAUGGGCCUUAGUGGAGAGAGAGAGGGCCGGCCAGGGCAGCCCCCCCUUGGGAGUCCGAAUUGGACAAGGAGAGGGGCGGCGCCCCCCUUUCCCUUCUCCCUCUCCUCCUUCCUUCCCCCUCCUAGUAGGAGUAGGAAAGGGGAGUCCUCCUCCUACUAGGAGGAGGACUCCUCCUCUCCUGGCGCGCCACAAGGGCCGGCCGGCCUCCCCCCUUGCUCCUUUAUAUACGGGGGCAGGGGCACCCUAGAACACACAAGUUGAUUGUUUCCAGCCGUGUGUGGUUCCCCCCUCCAUCAUAAUCCACCUCGGUCAUAUCGUUGCAGUGCUUAGGCGAAGCCUUGCGCCGGUAGCUUCAUCAUCACCGUCACCACGUCGUCGUGCUGACGAAACUCUCCCUCGAUACUCUGCUGGAUCGUGAGUUUGAGUGACGUCAUCGAGCUGAACGUGUGCUGAACUCGGAGGUGCCGUGCGUUCGGUACUUGGAUCGAUCGGAUCGUGAAGACGUACGACUACAUCAACCGCGUUGACAAAAUGCUUCCGCUUACGGUCUACGAGGGUACGUGGACAACACUCUCCCGCUCGUUGCUAUGCAUCACCAUGCUCUUGCGUGUGCGUAGGGAAAUUUUGAAAUUACUACGUUCCCCAAUAGUGGCAUCCGAGCUAGGUUUAUGCGUAGAUGUUAUAUGCACGAGUAGAACACAAGUGAGUUGUGGGUGAUACUAGGCAUACUGCUUACCAACAUGUCAUACUUUGAUUCGGCGGUAUUGUUGAAUGAAGCGGCCCGGACCGACAUUACGCGUACGCUUACGCGAGACUGGUUCUACCGACGUGCUUCGCACACAGGUGGCUGGCGGGUGUCAGUUUCUCCAACUUUAGUUGAAUCGAGUGUGGCUACGCCCGGUCCUUGUUGAAGGUUAAAACAACACAUACUUGACGAAAAAUCAUUGUGGUUCUGAUGCGUAGGUAAGAACGGUUCUUGCUAAGCCCGUAGCAGCCACGUAAAACUUGCAAGAACAAAGUAGAGGACGUCUAACUUGUUUUUGCAGGGCUUGUUGUGAUGUGAUAUGGUCAAGACGUGAUGAGAUAUAAGUUGUUGUAUGAGAUGAUCAUGUUUUGUUGAAGUUAUCGGCAACUAGUAGAAGCCUUAUGGUUGUCUCUUUAUUGCAUAAGAUGCAAGCGCCAAAUAAUUGCUUUACUUUAUUGCUAUGCGAUAGCAACAGUUGGCGAGACGACCCUAUGACGACACGUUGAUAGAGAUCAAGAUGAUGGAGAUCAUGGUGUCAUGCCGGUGACGAUAGAGAUCAUGACGGUACUUUAGAGAUGGAGAUCAAAGGCGCAAGAUGAUCAUGGCCAUAUCAUGUCACAUAUUUUGAUUGCAUGUGGUCUUUAUUCUUUAUGCAACUUAUUUUGCUUAGUUCGGCGGUAGCUUUAUAAGAUGAUCCCUUACUAAAAUUUCAAGGUAUAAGUGUUCUCCCUGAGUAUGCACCGUUGCGACAGUUCUUCGUGCUGAGACAUCACGUGAUGAUCGGGUGUGAUAAGCUCUACAUUCACAUACAACGGGUGCAAGCCGGUUUUGCACACGCAGAAUACUCAGGUUAAACUUGACGAGCCUAGCAUAUACAGAUAUUGACUCGGAACACUAGAGACCGAAAGGUCGAGCGUGAAUCAUAUAGUAGAUAUGAUCAAUAUAGUGAUGUUCACCAUUGGAAACUACUCCAUCUCACAUGAUGAUCGAACAUGGUUUAGUUGAUUUAGAUCGCGUGAUCAUUUAGAUGACUAGAGGGGUGUCUAUCUAAGUGGGAGUUCUUAAGUAAUAUGAUUAAUUGAACUUUAAUUUAUCAUGAAGUUAGUCCUGGUAGUAUUAGCAUAUCUAUGUUGUAGAUCAAUAGCUCGCGAUGUAGCUCCAUGUUUAUUUUUAUAUGUUCCUAGAGAAAUAUAAGUUGAAAGAUGAUAGUAGCUGUUGGGGAACGUAGUAAUUUCAAAAAAAAAAUCCUACGCACACGCAAGACCAUGGUGAUGCAUAGCAACGAGAGGGGAGAGUGUUGUCCACGUACCCUCGUAGACCGAAAGCGGAAGCGUUAACACAACGCGGUUGAUGUAGUCGUACGUCUUCACGAUCCGACCGAUCAAGUACCGAACGCACGGCACCUCCGAGUUCAGCACACGUUCAGCUCGAUGACGUCCCUCGAACUCCGAUCCAGCCGAGUGUUGAGGGAGAGUUUUGUCAGCACGACGGCAUGGUGACGAUGAUGAUGUUCUACUGACGCAGGGCUUCGCCUAAGCUCCGCGACGAUAUUAUCGAGGUGUAAUAUGGUGGAGGGGGGCACCGCACACGGCUAAGAGAUCAAUGAUCAAUUGUUGUGUCUAUGGGGUGCCCCCCUGCCCCCGUAUAUAAAGGAGCAAGGGGGAGGCCGCCGGCCAAGGAGGAGGGCGCGCCAAGGGGGGAGUCCUACUCCCACCGGGAGUAGGACUCCUCCUUUCCUUGUUGGAGUAGGAAAAGGGAAGGGAGAAGGAGAAAGAAGGAAGGGGGCGCCCCCCUUCCCUAGUCCAAUUCGGACUAGUCGAUGAGGAGGGGUGCGGCCUCCCUUUGGGGUCUUUCUCUCCUUUCCCGUAUGGCCCAUUAAGGCCCAAUACGAAUUCUCGUAACUCUCCGGUACUCCGAAAAAUACCCGAAUCACUCGGAACCUUUCCGAAGUCCGAAUAUAGUCGUCCAAUAUAUCGAUCUUUACGUCUCAGCCAUUUCGAGACUCCUCGUCAUGUCCCCGAUCUCAUCCGGGACUCCGAACUCCUUCGGUACAUCAAAACACAUAAACUCAUAAUAUAACCGUCAUCGUAACGUUAAGCGUGCGGACCCUACGGGUUCGAGAACUAUGUAGACAUGACCGAGACACCUCUCCGGUCAAUAACCAAUAGCGGAACCUGGAUGCUCAUAUUGGCUCCCACAUAUUCUACGAAGAUCUUUAUCGGUCAGACCGCAUAACAACAUACGUUGUUCCCUUUGUCAUCGGUAUGUUACUUGCCCGAGAUUCGAUCGUCGGUAUCUCGAUACCUAGUUCAAUCUCGUUACCGGCAAGUCUCUUUACUCGUUCCGUAAUACAUCAUCCCGCAACUAACUCAUUAGUUACAAUGCUUGCAAGGCUUAUAGUGAUGUGUAUUACUGAGUGGGCCCAGAGAUACCUCUCCGACAAUCGGAGUGACAAAUCCUAAUCUCGAAAUACACCAACCCAACAAGUACCUUUGGAGACACCUGUAGAGCACCUUUAUAAUCACCCAGUUACGUUGUGACGUUUGGUAGCACACAAAGUGUUCCUCCGGUAAACGGGAGUUGCAUAAUCUCAUAGUCAUAGGAACAUGUAUAAGUCAUGAAGAAAGCAAUAGCAACAUACUAAACGAUCGAGUGCUAAGCUAACGGAAUGGGUCAAGUCAAUCACGUCAUUCUCCUAAUGAGGUGAUCUCGUUAAUCAAAUGACAACUCAUGUCUAUGGCUAGGAAACAUAACCAUCUUUGAUUAACGAGCUAGUCAAGUAGAGGCAUACUAGUGACACUCUGUUUGUCUAUGUAUUCACACAUGUAUUAUGUUUCCGGUUAAUACAAUUCUAGCAUGAAUAAUAAACAUUUAUCAUGAUAUAAGGAAAUAAAUAAUAACUUUAUUAUUGCCUCUAGGGCAUAUUUCCUUCAGUAGCAAUGAUGCGGACUUGGUCCGUGAUCUGAGGAUUUUCCUCAUUGUUGCACAGAAGAAUUAUGUCCUUGAUGCACCGCUAGGUGACAGACCUAUUGCAGGAGCAGAUGCAGACGUUAUGAACGUUUUGACAAAAGCUCGGUAUGAUGACUACUUAAAAGUUUAGUGCACCAUGCUUUACGGCUUAAAACCGGGACUUCAAAAAUGUUUUGAACGUCAUGGAGCAUAUAAGAUGUUCCAAGAGUUGAAAUUAGUGUUUCAGACUCAUGCCCGUGUCAAGAGGUAUGAGACCUCUGACAGUACUUUGCCUACAAGAUGGAGGAGAAUAGCUCAACCAGUGAGCAUGUACUCAGAUUGUCUGGGUACUACAAUUGCUUGAAUCAAAUGGGAGUUAAUCUUCCAGAUAAGAUAGUAAUUGACAAAGUUCUCUAGUCACUAUCUCUAAGUUACUAGAACUUCAUGAUGAACUAUAAUAUGCAAGGGAUGACAAAAGUAAUUCCCGAGCUCUUCGCGAUGCUGAAAUCGACGAAGGUAGAAAUCAAGAAAGAGCAUCAAGUGUUGAUGGUUAACAAGACCACUAGUUUCAAGAAAAGGGCAAAGGGAUAGAAGGGGAACUUCAAGAAGAAUGGCAAGCAAGUUGUUGCUCAAGUGAAGAAGCCCAAGUCUGGACCUAAGCCUGAGACUGAGUUCUUCUACUGUAAUGGAAAUGGUCACUGGAAGUGGAACUACCCUAGAUACUUAGCGGAUAAGAAGGAUGGCAAAGUGAACAAAGGUAUAUUUGAUAUACAUGUUAUUUAUGUGUACUUUACUAGUGUUUAUAGCAACCCCUCGGCAUUUGAAACUGAUUCAGUUGCUAAGAGUAGUAACUCGAAACAGGAGUUGCAGAAUGAACAGAAACUAGUUAAGGGUGAAGUGACGAUGUGUGUUGAAAGUAGUUCCAAGAUUGAUAUGAUCAUCAUCGCACACUCCCUAUACUUUCGGGAUUAGUGUUGAACCUAAAUAAAUGUUAUUUGGUGUUUGCGUUGAGCAUGAAUAUGAUUUGAUCAUGUUUAUUGCAAUACGGUUAUUCAUUUAAGUUAGAGAAUAAUUGUUGUUCUGUUUACAUGAAUAAAACCUUCUAUGGUCAUACACCCAAUGAAAAUGGUUUGCUAGAUCUUGAUCGUAGUGAUACACAUAUUCAUAAUAUUGAAGCCAAAAGAUGCAAAGUUAAUAAUGAUAGUGCAACUUAUUUGUGGCACUGCCGUUUAGGUCAUAUUGGUGUAAAGCGCAUGAAGAAACUCCAUGCUGAUGGGCUUUUGGAAUCACUUGACUAUGAAUCACUUGAUGCUUGCGAACCAUGCCUUACUAAGACUCCGUUCUCCGGAACAAUGGAGCGAGCAACUGACUUACUGGAAACAAUACAUACUGAUGUAUGCGGUCCGAUGAGUGUUAAGGCUCGCGACGGGUAUCGUUAUUUUCUGACCUUCACAGAUGAUUUGAGUAGAUAUGGGUAUAUCUACUCGAUGAAACAUAAGUCUGAAACAUUUGAAAAGUUCAAAGAAUUUCAGAGUGAAGUAGAAAAUCAUCUAACAAGAAAAUAAAGUUUCUACGAUCUGAUCGCGGAGACGAAUAUUUGAAUUAUGAGUUUGGUCUUCAUUUAAAACAAUGUGGAAUAUUUUCACAACUCACGCCACCUGGAACACCACAGCGUAAUGGUGUGUCUGAACGUCAUAACCGUACUUUAUUGGAUAUGGUGCGAUCUAUGAUGUCUCUUACCGAUUUACCACUAUCGUUUUGGGAUUAUGCAUUAGAGACAGCUGCAUUCACAUUAAAUAGGGCACCAUCUAAAUCCGUUGAGAUGACACCGUAUGAACUGUGGUUUAGCAGUAAACCUAAGCUGUCAUUUCCUAAAAGUUUGGGGCUGCGAUGCUUAUGUGAAAAAGCUUCAACCUGAUAAGCUCGAACCCAAAUCGGAGAAAUGCGUCUUCAUAGAAUACCCAAAAGAAACUGUUGGGUACACCUUCUAUCACAGAUCCGAAGGCAAGAUAUUUGUUGCUAAGAGUUGAUCCUUUCUAGAGAAGGAGUUUCUCUCGAAAGAAGUGAGUGGGAGGAAAGUAGAACUUGAUGAGGUAAUUGUACUUUCUCCCAAAUUGGAAAGUAGUUCAUCACAGAAAUCAGUUCCAGUGAUUCCUACACCAAUUAGUGAGAACACUAAUGAUGAUGAUCAUGAAUCUUCAGAUCAAGUUACUACCGAACCUCGUAGGUCAACCAGAAUAAGAUCCGCACCAGAGUGGUACAGUAAUCCUGUUCGGAGGUCAUGUUACUUGACCAUGAUGAACCUAUGAACUAUGAGGAAGCGAUGAUGAGCCCAGAUUCCGUGAAAUGGCUUGAGGCCAUGAAAUCUGAGAUGGGAUCCAUGUUAAGAACAAAGUAUGGACUUUGGUUGACUUGCCCGAUGAUCGGCAAGCAAUAUAGAAUAAAUGGAUCUUCAAGAGGAAGACGGACGCUGAUAGUAGUGUUACUAUCUACAAAGCUUGAAUUGUCGCAAAAAUGUUUCCGACAAGUUCAAGGUGUUGACUACGAUGAGAUUUUCUCACUUGUAUCGAUGCUUAAAAGUCUGUCCGAAUCAUGUUAGCAAUUGCCGCAUUUAUAAAAUUUGGCAAAUGGAUGUCAAACUUGCAUUCCUUAAUGGAUUUCUUAAAGAAGAGUUGUAUGUGAUGCAACCAGAAGGUUUUGUCGAUCCUAAAGGUGCUAACAAAAUGUGCAAAGCUCCAGCGAUUCAUCUAUGGACUGGUGCAAGCAUCUCGGAGUUGGAAUAUACAUUUUGAUAGUGUGAUCAAAGCAUAUAGUUUUAUACAGACUCGCGGUGAAGCCUGUAUUUACAAGAAACUGAGUGGGAGCACUACAGCCUUUCUGUUAAGUAUAUGUGUGUGACAUAUUGUUGAUCAGAAAUGAUGUAGAAUUUUCUGGAGAGCAUAAAGGAGUGUUUGGAAGGAGUUUUUCAAAGAAAGACCUCAGUGAAGUUGCUUACAUAUUGAGCAUCAAGAUCUAUAGAGAUAGAUCAAGACGCUUGAUAAGUUUUUCAAUGAGUACAUACCUUGACAAGUUUUUGAAGUAGUUCAAAAUGGAACAAUCAAAGAAAGAGUUCUUGUCUGUGUUGCAAGGUGUGAAAUUGAGUAAGACUCAAAGCCCGACCAUGGUAGAAGAUAGAAAGAGAAUGAAAGUCAUUCCCUAUGCCUCAACCAUAGGUUCUAUAAAGUAUGCCAUGUUGUGUGCCAGAUCUAUUGUAUACCCUACACUGAGUUUGGCAAGGGAGUACAAUAGUGAUCUAGGAGUAGAUCACUGGACAGCGGUCAAAAUUAUCCUUAGUGGAAUAAGGAUAUGUUUCUCGAUAAUGGAGGUGAAAAAAGGUUCGUCGUAAAGGGUUACGUCGAUGCAAGUUUUGACACUGAUCCAGAUGACUCUAAAUCUCAAUCUGGAUACAUAUUGAAAGUGGGAGCAAUUAGCUAGAGUAGCUCCGUGUAGAGCAUUGUUGACAUAGAAAUUUGCAAAAUACAUACGGAUCUGAAUAUGGCAGAUCCGUUGACUAAACUUCUCUCACAAGCAAAACAUGAUCACACCUUAGUACCCUUUGAGUGUUGGUCACAUGGCGAUGUGAACUAUGGGUGUUAAUCACAUGGUGAUGUGAACUAUUGGUGUUAAAUCACAUGGCGAUGUGAUCUAGAUUAUUGACUCUAGUGCAAGUGGGAGACUGAAGGAAAUAUGCCCUAGAGGCAAUAAUAAAGUUGUUAUUUAUAUUUCCUUAUAUCAUGAUAAAUGUUUAUUAUUCAUGCUAGAAUUGUAUUAACCAGAAACUUAGUACAUGUGUGAAUACAUAGACAAAACAAAGUGUCACUAGUAUGCCUCUACUUGACUAGCUCGUUGAAUCAAAGAUGGUUAAGUUUCCUAGCCAUAGACAUGAGUUGUCAUUUGAUUAACGGGAUCACAUCAUUAAAGAACGAUGUGAUUGACUUGACCCAUUCCGUUAGCUUAGCACUUGAUUGUUUAGUAUGUUGCUAUUGCUUUCUUCAUGACUUAUACAUGUUCCUAUGAGUAUGAGGUUAUGCAACUCCCGAAUACCGGAGGAACACUUUGUGUGCUACCAAACGUCACAACGUAACUGGGUGAUUAUAAAGGUGCUCUACAGGUGUCUCCUAUGGUGUUUGUUGAGUUGGCAUAGAUCGAGAUUAGGGUUUGUCACUUCGAUUGUCGGAGAGGUAUCUCUGGGCCCUCUUGCUAAUACACAUCACUAUAAGCCUUGCAAGCAAUGUGACUAAUGAGUUAGUUGCGGGAUGAUGCAUUACGGAACGAGUAAAGAAACUUGUCGGUAACGAGAUUGAACUAGGUAUUGAGAUACCGACGAUCGAAUCUCGGGCAAGUAACAUACCGAUGACAAAGGGAACAACGUAUGUUGUUAUGCGGUUUGACCGAUAAAGAUCUUCAUAGAAUAUGUGGGAGCCAAUAUGAGCAUCCAGGUUCCGCUAUUGGUUAUUGACCAGAAACGUGUCUCGGUCAUGUCUACAUAGUUCUCGAACCCGUAGGGUCCGCACGCUUAACGUUCGGUGACGAUCGGUAUUAUGAGUUUAUGUGUUUUGAUGUACCGAAGAUAGUUCGGAGUCCCGGAUGUGAUCACGGACAUGACGAGGAGUCUCGAAAUGGUCGAGACAUAAAGAUUGAUAUAUUGGACGGCUAUAUCCGGACACCGGAAUUGUUCCGGGUGAUUUCGGAGAAAACCGGAGUGCCGGAGGGUUACCGGAACCCCCCGGGAGAACUAAUGGACCUCAUGGGGCUUAGUGGAGAGAGAGAGGGCCGGGCAGGGCAGGCCCCCCCCCCCUUGGGAGUCCGAAUUGGACAAGGAGGGGGGCGGCGCCCCCCUUUCCCUUCUCCCUCUCCUCCUUCCUUUCCCCCUCCUAGUAGGAGUAGGAAAUGGGAGUCCUACUCCUACUAGGAGGAGGACUCCUCCUCUCUUGGCGCGCCACAAGGGCCGGCCGGCCUCCCCCCUUGCUCCUUUAUAUACGGGGGCAGGAGGGCACCCUAGAACACACAAGUUGAUUGUUUCCAGCCGUGUGUGGUGCCCCCUCCACCAUAAUCCACCUCGGUCAUAUCAUUGCAGUGCUUAGGCGAAGCCCUGCGCCGGUAGCUUCAUCAUCACCGUCACCAUGCCGUCGUGCUGACGAAAGUCUCCCUCGACACUCUGCUGGAUCGUGAGUUCGAGGGACGUCAUCGAGCUGAACGUGUGCUGAACUCGGAGUGCCGUGCGUUCGGUACUUGGGUCGGUCGGAUCGUGAAGACGUACGACUACAUCAACCGCGUUGACAAAACGCUUCCGCUUACGGUCUAUGAGGGUACGUGGACAACACUCUCCCGCUCGUUGCUAUGCAUCACCAUGAUCUUGCGUGUGCGUAGGAAAUUUUUGAAAUUACUACGUUCCCCAACAGCAGCGACGUCACUGGAACUUCCAAGAUGACACAUGUGUAAUGUGUCAUUCUCGCUGCCAUGAGGACCGAGUCCAUCUCUUUUUUGCUUGCAAUUUUAGUCAACGGGUGUGGAAUUAUCUUGGGAUUUCUUGGAUCGUUCAACCAAAUCAGACUACAUAUGAGAUGGCUUUAUCUGCUCAGAGGGACUUUGGUUUUCCCUUUUUCACAGAGGUAGUCUUCACUGCCACAUGGAAUAUUUGGACUCAAAGGAAUGGAAAGAUCUUCAGAAAUGAGCUGCCUUCCUUUAGAUUUUGGAGGAGAAAUUUUGUCCAUGACAUUUCUCUCUUAGCUCAUAGAAUUAAAUGUAAAUAUAGAGAUAGCCUAACCUCCUGGAUAGCUUCCCUUCCAUAGUUCUCUUUGUAAGUAUUUCCCUUCUGUUCUUACUUGUAACUUAGCAACUUUGUAACUUCUCUAGUUCUUUAUCGAUAAAGAACUGUGAGGCUGUUGCCUUGCAGUAUAUAGUGAAAAAAAAGACUAUAUACACAACACUUAUAAAAAUGACCUCACGAAAGAUGAAAGUACAAUCGUGGGGGACGUGAACGCAAAAAACGCCCGUUGCCACUCCAUUGUAGCCCAAGCUUUGUCGGACAAAGGGGGGACACAAACAUUCCACUACCGAAUAGGUGCCAUGGUAGACAAAGUUGCAUUGUGAGGCGGCAAAGCGGGUUGUUAAUGACUGGUGGUAGGUUUGAAUCUUACUUAGGAGUAAGUAUGCUUGUGGAACUACAGUGAUGGCUAUGGUGCAAACUAGAUGCUUCUAAUCAAGUGCAUAUCUGGCGACGUUUACGCGAUCCAUUCUGCCGAGGAGGCCGCCGUCCCGCAAAUUUUGUUUACCGGAUACUGUAAACGAAAUUUGCAAGACACGGCGGUAUACCGGAUUUGCUAGAGAUGCUCUAAGGCUGCAUACUCCACCAUGUACAAGGCAGAUGAUGAUCCUGCACUGAACUUGGUGUGGUCCUCCAGGGUUCCAAACAAGGUCAAGAUCUUUGGAUGGUUACUGCAUAAUGACAGACUGAACACUUGCAAAAACCUACACCGAAAAACCAUCCUACAGCCAGACAAGUGUCUCAGAUGCCUGCACCACACAGAAAUGCUUACACAUGUUCCAUGUGCCCCAAGGCAAAAGCUAUUUGGAGGACAAUUCGCAUCAGACCAAACUGCAAUGACAUCAAGCUUAUUUACAAAACCAACUUCCCAACACACAUCCCCGAGUCACUCCAUACUUUCAUGAUACCGCUCUUUCUCUGGAAGAUCUGGGAUGCAAUAAACACUUGUUUUUAGGCAACUCCAGCUAAGAUCAUCUCAAAUGUAAUUUCGGAUUUUUUUUUGAUCUAGUCUUAGGCCUCAUUCGGUUUGGAGGAAAUCAAAAUGUAGGAUUUAGGAAUAGUAUAGGAAGUUGAUAGGAUGGAAUUUGACAUCUAAAGAAUUGUCUUGCCUCUUUCUACGCACAAAAUGAGCUUUGAGUGAAUUUGUAGAUUCCUUCAAAAAAAAUGAAUAGUAUUCCUACGAAAUCCCCAUGCGUGUUUUCUACAAACCGAAUGCAUCUAUACAAAUUUCUCUGAAUCUUUGUUCCUAUGUUUUUCUAUAAAAUUCCUUCGAACCGAAGGAGGCCUCGGAGACUAAAAAAAAGCUUGGAUUUUGUGGUGACGCCAAUCUGUUUUCAUGCGCCAUAAAAAAACACAGAAGAAUCACGUUUGUACAUGUAACAAUUGAGCCACAACACACAAAGGUCAGUUACCAGUACCAAGUGCUAGAUUUGCCUUGGAACCACUAGUGAAAAAGAACCUGUAAAAAGCUCGCUCAAAAAUCAAAAUCUCUCAGCACUUCAGUACCGCCGGCUCUGCAGAAGCUGGCUCAUCGAGUCGUACCCCAGCGCGCGGUGCAGCAGCAACGGCACCUGCUGCGCACCGGCACCGCCGCUCCUGCCCGCCGCGCGUUCCAGCUCACCCGAGCCGGACACCCCGCUCGUCUGCCGCGCGGGGCCAGCGAUACCCGCAGCCGCGGGAAGCGCCACCUCGAGCACUUCCUCGCACCCGCCGCACCGCAGCCUGAUGAUGUUUCCCCUCCUCCUCGACGGCACCGCCGACGUGGGCGCAUGGAGAAGCUCGGAGCACCCGCCGCAGACAACGAACGGCGCGCCCCCCAGGACCGGGAGGCACUGGCGCCUCUUCCGCGGCCUCGCCGCGCGCCGCUCGCCGUGGCUGUUGGACGACGACGUCGACGACGACCACGAGGCGGAGCCGGUGCUCGAGUAACCGUUCUGGCGCGGGCCACGUGCCGCCGCGUUCUCGGCGGGAAGCUCCUCGGCGAGCCGCGACUCCAGCCGCCGGAACAAACGAGUGUCGCGCCGCGUCACCGCCCCGCUCCCGCCGCUCGUCGACCGCGGCUGCAGCUCGAUGUUGGCGAUCAUGCCCCGGAGCUUGUCCAGCGCGUGCAGCAGGUCCCUUUGGAACGCCGGGUCCGUCAGGGGCGACGCCGUGACAGCGGACACGCUGGCAGACGUCCGGAGCUCCCUAGAGCUCAGCGCCGAUUGCCGGAGCUGCUGCCCGGACGACGCGUUCCUUGGCGCCUCCUCGGGGUCCGGGACAGAGAAGUCCCGUCGACGCAGAAUGCUCGGGUCUGAAGCACUCGACGCCCGCCUCGUCCGCCGAGACGACGCCCGGAGCGCAUCGACGCGACUGUUCACCGGUCGAACGACUCGAACCUCGUCUUGCCCAUCCGAGCCGACGCGGCCGUCUUCGACGCCCCGAGAUACGCAGCUAUUGCUCCGAGGUUGGCCGGCCCGUGGUGAACCGAAGCCUCUGUACGGCGACGGCGAGGAAGCAGCCGCAAUCCCCUGGCUGUUGGCAUCGGAGUUGGAGUUGUAGCCGCACGAGAAGGGCGGCUGGUCGCCGUCGACGUCGAUGACUGAAGGCUGCGUAGAGGAACCCUCGAGCUCGUCGGAGAAGACCGACUCGGUGUCGACGGCCGAGAGGAUCUCCAGACUGCUGAGAGUGUUGUCCGUUUCAUCGUCCGUCGGCUCCGUGUUCUUGCCUGCGGAGAGAGGCAGAACAGAACCGAAGCAGAUUAGAGCAGAACUCAACGGCGCGCAUGUGUCGCACAGUGAUUAUGCGGCGCACCUCGGAUGGGAGUGCGGCAUUUGGUGCAGUAGUAGAUGGCGGCGGCGGUGCUCUGGCAGAUCAUGGCGCGGCAGUACGGGCACCGGCCGAACCGCGUCUUGGUGCCCCCGGCCGGCAUCGUCGUCGCCGCCCCUGUUUCUCUUCUUCUUGGAAGCUGAAAAACGAUGGGUGGAGAGCAGGUACUACCUAGAUUCACCGAAUUGGUUGAAUUAGUACGAAGAAAGAAGAUGCGAUGUCCAUUUCGAACCACGAACCAGUGGUUCGUCAAAAUAAUAAUAAAACUCAAAGUAAUGCUUCAUUGGCCGGGGGUAAUCCUCCAUUUCGAAAAAAAGAAAAAAAUGGCCAUAAGGUUCGGAGGUCAACCAUUAGGUAACUGCUUAUGGCAACCCUUGAUCUGUAAGUUAUGGAAUUGGUCAUCUCAUUCUAGUGGCAGUAGGAUAUUUCUUCAUCAAGUGCAUAGAGAUCAGAGCGUGCAUUUCAACCUGCAAAGUAACCACUCUGGAAUGCCUUUACCGAGAGAGAGAGAGAGAGAGAGAACUUCAUGAGCAAAUUAGUACAGAGGGAGGUGCAUCCAGGACAUGCCGCUAGACUACUGCACUUGGUUCUAAAAUUUUGGACAAAUUGGUUGCGAAACAAACGGAUCCUGGAAUCAGUAAUUGGUCAAAAUUAAUUUAAAAAAUAAAAGAAAUGCUUAAUUGGCCAGAGGUCUAGCAGUAGGUCAACUGCUUAUGACAACCAUUGAGCGAAAAGUUAUUGAAUUGGUCAUUCAUUCUAGGAUGUUUCUUCAUCAAUUGCAUUCAGAGAACAAAGUCGAACUAUAUAAUCCGGAAUGCUGAUGUAGAUCCUGGACUACCUUUACCGAGAGAGAGAGAGAGAGAGAGAGAGAGAGAGAGAGAGAGAGAGAGAGGAAGUCAGGCUCAUUCAUGGACAAAUUUGAUGCAAAACAGUAGGAAGGUUCUGAAAAAUGGCACUAUGAAAUUCCAAAGCAGCAAGCAAAGACAGGAAAUGAAGAACAAGCAGACACACCUCUCUCGUUGUCAAAAUCUUCUUCAGAGAAAUGUGCACACAAAAAAAAUUCUUCUUCAGAGAUUCUUCGUGGGCUUCUGCGCGAUAGCAUAGCACGGUGCCUCUAUAGCGGGCGGGCGGAUUUCUGAAACGUGAAGACAAAGGGAAGAAGAAGUAGGAGGAGGAGGACGAGCACCCAGCCAGAAAGAAUCGUCCUCCCUCGAGACAGCAAAGAUACAGCACUCCGAGGAAGUGCUAUUUUAGUAGGUGGCGUACGUGGAAAGAAGUGGCCAUGAUUUGGUAGUUGGAAUUGGAACACAGCAUUUAGCUUCAUAAAUAUUGCAAAAGGACCUUUUAUAGUAAUAUAAUCGAAAAUUGAAAAGUUCAAUCCGUUCUUUAGAGGAUUUUCUUUUCUUGAGAAACCUCUUCACGCGUUAUUCAGCAAAUAAGUUUGGAGGAAUUGUUACAAAGUCAUGUGGUGAAACUAGCCACAAUUGUCUACCAAAAUCUAGAGAUAAUGAAAACAUUGCUAAACUGUCUGCUUCAAAAUUUCCCUUUUUUUAGAGGAAAUUGAAAAGCCCAAUCGAAAGGCUAGAAUCGGCCUCGGGCCGAAGCCCGAUAUAACUCGCUGGCCCAUUGUUUUGUCGCUCGGCCCAUCGUUAUCCCAUCCGCGCGUGCCUGCAAGCCCCUGCCCGCCACGUAGCACAUUCCGCAGCCUCAGCUCGGCUCAGCUCAGCCUGCUCACCUCCACCUCUCAAACACGCGCGCCUCCACCUCCUCCCAUGAGAGGCGCGCCAUCCUCUCCAUGGCCUCCUCCUCCCUCCUGCCCCCGCCCACCUUCGCCAACAAGCACCAUGCGCUGCUCCACCCGCACGGUGCCAGGCACCGGCUGAUCAGGUGCGGUGCCGCGCCCACCGACGGCGGCGCGGGGGACGAGCUCCUCAGCGGCGCGCUGCACCUGGGCAGGCCCGACCCGGUGGUGGCGACCGUGGUCAGCGACACGGGCACCGAUGGCUGGGGUGACCUUUUCACCGAGCUCAAGAGGUCGCUGCAGGCGGACUCGUCCGACCCGGCCGCCAGCGAUGCGGCAUCCAUCGGCGCCGGCGCCGGCGCGGCUGUCCCGGACGGGCUCCUGAGCUCGCCUCUGGCCGGCGAAGCGGCCAAUGCCAACGCGGCCCUCGUCGUCCCGGACGGGGCCCUGACGAGCGCGCCGGACUCGGCGACGGACGGUGUCGGCGCGGCCGUGGACGCCAUCCCGGACGAGCUCCUCAGCGCGCUGCACCUGGACGCGUCCAGCCCGGCGGUGCGCGUGGCGGACGACGCGCUGUCCCGGAUGGAGGAGCUGACGGCGGGGAUGAACGAGGCGGAGCGGUGGGCGCUGUUUGGGGUGGUGGCGGUGACGUGGCUGUACCUGACGGCGCGGCCCGGGGUGCUGAGCGGCGCGGUGGACACGUACGUGUUCGCGCCGCUGCAGCAGGCGCUGGACACGCUGCUGGGGCGGCGGAGCCUGAAGAUGAGCGACUUCGUGGUGGGCGAGCGCAUCGGGGAGGGGUCGUUCGGGGUGGUGUACUCCGGCGCCGUGGUGCCCAGGGGCGGGCCCGCCGUCGAGGAGAGGGCCGGCAGGGCCAAGACUAAGCUCCAGCUCGACGACCGGUACAAGGAGAAGGUCAUACUCAAGAAGGUGAGCCUGGUGCAAGCGACGCUAGCUCAAGAGGGUCCGCCGGGGUUGCGAGCAAAAAUGGCGAAUCUGAUGGGUGGACCGGCGGUGCGUGUUCUGAUUUGCAGAUAAAAGUGGGGACAGUUGGAGCCAAGGAGUGCGGCGACUACGAGGAGUGGUUCAACUACCGGGUGGCGAGGGCGGCGCCGGAGUCGUGCGCGGAUUUCAUGGGGAGCUUCGUCGCCGACAAGACCAAGUCCGAGUUCGUCAAGGGCGGCAAGUGGCUCGUCUGGAAAUUUGAGGUAUGCUUCUUCAUAAAUAACGCACNNNNNNNNNNNNNNNNNNNNNNNNNNNNNNNNNNNNNNNNNNNNNNNNNNNNNNNNNNNNNNNNNNNNNNNNNNNNNNNNNNNNNNNNNNNNNNNNNNNNNNNNNNNNNNNNNNNNNNNNNNNNNNNNNNNNNNNNNNNNNNNNNNNNNNNNNNNNNNNNNNNNNNNNNNNNNNNNNNNNNNNNNNNNNNNNNNNNNNNNNNNNNNNNNNNNNNNNNNNNNNNNNNNNNNNNNNNNNNNNNNNNNNNNNNNNNNNNNNNNNNNNNNNNNNNNNNNNNNNNNNNNNNNNNNNNNNNNNNNNNNNNNNNNNNNNNNNNNNNNNNNNNNNNNNNNNNNNNNNNNNNNNNNNNNNNNNNNNNNNNNNNNNNNNNNNNNNNNNNNNNNNNNNNNNNNNNNNNNNNNNNNNNNNNNNNNNNNNNNNNNNNNNNNNNNNNNNNNNNNNNNNNNNNNNNNNNNNNNNNNNNNNNNNNNNNNNNNNNNNNNNNNNNNNNNNNNNNNNNNNNNNNNNNNNNNNNNNNNNNNNNNNNNNNNNNNNNNNNNNNNNNNNNNNNNNNNNNNNNNNNNNNNNNNNNNNNNNNNNNNNNNNNNNNNNNNNNNNNNNNNNNNNNNNNNNNNNNNNNNNNNNNNNNNNNNNNNNNNNNNNNNNNNNNNNNNNNNNNNNNNNNNNNNNNNNNNNNNNNNNNNNNNNNNNNNNNNNNNNNNNNNNNGCCACCAUAAUUCUGACUCCAUGGCGACACAACGAAGCACCGAAAAACCAGUUGAACACGUCGGAAAACCGUACCGAAACCAAAGCCCUACUUUAUGCAAUCAUCGUUACCAAGCAGAUCCCAACACCUCCGGGCACCCACCUCAGCAAAAAAAACUAUCAUCCGGCGAUGAUGUCCCCAAGGAGGAGAAAGACGAAAAAAUGCAUGCAUCGCAUGAUCUAGCGAAUCAUGGGUUUCCCUCAGAGUCAAGGUCGUCAGACGAGGAGAGGAGCACAACCCCACAUCAAAGCUCUCAAGAUAUUCUAGGGACUUUGCACGCAUUGUCCUCGCUGGUUUCAACCAAGACCAGAACAAGGAUUUCUCCCGGACAUCCCUCAACCUCAUGUUGCCCGAAUCACCCUUCCAUGAGUCACAAUAGACGACGUGAAAGUGCUUCAAAAGGUGUCGGCAGGUGCGCAGAACCGGAGACGACAUGUUCACCCAAGCCCCACCGACGACCACCCCUACUAGGAAACCCCUAAGUGACCACAGGACCCGUAGUCCUGGUUGUGUUCACCAUUCCUCAUGGACCAACACAGUGCCGCCAUCAACCACCUUUUUUAGACUAAAGCACGCUGAUAGAGCACAAAGAGGCACCGGAAGAGUUGGGGACUAGGCAAGCCUAUUCUUCCCACGUUAGAAUUUUGAUGAGGUAUGUGUGUUAACAUGCUUGGAAGGAUUGGUUUGAGGAAAAUACAUGGUUGAAAAUAGGGUAAAGCUCCGUGAGUCUUAGUUAUCCAAGUCCAGAAGAUUCUCCAUAGAAAGAAAAUCCAAAUAGGAAAAGAAUAAUUUCUGUCAGAAAACAAAAAAAAAUGGCCCAUACAGGUCUCGAACCUGUGACCUUCGCGUUAUUAGCACGACGCUCUAACCAGCUGAGCUAAUAGGCCUGUUGUGGUACGAAAUGAAAUAGCAUUUUAUUUGAUACAUUGAAUAAAUCUCAUGCUAGCAGCAAAGCAAAACACCCGCUCGACGCCCGCAAUGGCCGAUAAACUCCAAACGCGCGCGCUCUGACAUUUGAACUUGUUGGAUGCUAAAGUGUACAUUGGACAAUUUUGAUGCUAGCAGGAGCAAAAACACCCGCUCGUCUUGCUUAUACGCCGGCAAUGGCCGAUAAACUCCAAACGCGCGCGCUCUGACACUUGAACUUGUUCCCGCGUGCAGGGCGACCGGACGCUGGGCAACUACGUGACGGACCGGGGCUUCCCGGCGAACCUGGAGCCGCUCAUGUUCGGGCGCGCGCUGCGGGGCGUGGACGCGCUCACCCGCGCCGCCCUGGUGGUGAAGCAGGUGAUGCGGCAGCUCGUCACCUCGCUCCGCCGCAUCCACGACACCGGCAUCGUCCACCGCGACAUCAAGCCCUCCAACCUCGUGGUCACCCGCCGGGGCCAGGUCAAGCUCAUCGACUUCGGCGCCGCCACCGACCUGCGCAUUGGCAAGAACUACGUGCCCGACCGCACCCUGCUCGACCCGGACUACUGCCCGCCCGAGCUCUACGUGCUCCCCGAGGAGACCCCCACGCCGCCCGCCGAGCCCAUCGCCGCCAUCCUCUCCCCGAUCCUCUGGCAGCUCAACAGCCCCGACCUCUUCGACAUGUACUCAGCCGGGAUCGUGCUCAUGCAGAUGGCCACGCCGGCGCUCAGGUCGCCCUCGGGCCUCAAGAACUUCAACUCCGAGCUCAAGGCCGCCGGCUACGACCUCAACAGGUGGCGGGAGACCACGCGCCGGAGACCCGACCUGCAGAUCCUGGACCUCGACUCCGGCAGAGGCUGGGACCUGGCCACCAAGCUCAUCGCGCAGCGGGAGAAGGGGCGGCUCUCCGCCGCCGCCGCGCUCCGGCACCCCUAUUUCCUGCUUGGCGGAGAUCGGGCCGCCGCCGUCCUGUCAAAGCUGCAGCUCACCAAAUAGUAAUUGAUAUGUCUGGCUACAUAGAACAAGCGAUCAAACCCCUGCAUAUAGUAUCCAUAUAGAUGUCCAUCCCAUAAAUUCUGCCCUGAAUCCUGACAUGAGUGAGACGCAAGAUCACCAAUGGCAUUGGCAAUUUUGUUGUACAGUCAUGAUUCAUGAGAUCUCAAGGCAUCUGGCUGGUGUCAAUCAAUCAGUACAUUGUUUCGUGCGAGUUCAUAUGGACAGCGUGUGUGGUGCAGAGUUACAGAUGCUGGGCUAACUUAAUUUACUGCUGAUCGAGUGUGGACACUACCAAGAAAUCCUACUUCUGCUGGUCAGUUUCUCGAACCUACGUAUGCCGCCGAGCAGGCUCUUGCUGAUGCUCCCAGCCAAUGGAGGCCGUGCUCGUUCUGAAGCUCUAUUGACUGGCGGGCAGGAACAUCAGGUUUUGUCCUCGAAAGACUGUUUACUCAUAACUUCGUCACCUGGCCGGCAGUAUGGUUCGAACUUCUGCUGAAGAUCGGCCUGGUUCCCCCCCACCAUCUUGUCGAUCUCCUUCUUAUCUCUCAAGAAGAUGAAUGUCGGCGUGGCACGUACCUCGAAUUCCGUGACCAGUUCCUGACAAAAAAAAAACAUAUAUCGAAAUGACAUUUAGUUUGAGCAUUCGCUCAAAGCUGAAUUAGUAAUGAGCCGGUGGAACAUUUGUGUACCGGUAGUUCGUCUACGUCCACAGACACGAAAACAAGAUCGGAAUGCUUCAAAGAGAGUUCGGCGUACGUAGGAGCAGCGAUCCUACACGGGCCACACCAUACUGCGCUGAAUUUUACAACAAGCUGUGCAGUUGAAAAAUGUCAGCAUGGUUAAUCAAAACAAGUGCACGAAUUCCAAAUUGGAAAGUCACAUGCACCUAUGUAUCCUUGUGUCCAGAGUAUGAGUUGGGUUGUAAGCUACUUACUGUUUUAUUGGCGUCAGUUGCAUCUUCCACUUUCUUCUCCCAGCUCUUUAGAUCGGUUAUAAGAGUCACAUUCCCAGAGCUGUAGUCUAGGUGUUCCUCCUCAUCUACAGGGUUCUGCAAAGGGAAGCAUAACCAAAGAGCUCGAUUUACUAACAUAUAACUCGAUAAACGGCUUCCUUUAAUUGGGCCUUACUAUCAGUUGACCAACAAAAAAAAGCACUACGUAGCAUGGCAAACAAACACAAGCUAUGCAAUAAAGAUGCUAGUGCACGAUUCAGUUAUCAAAGUUGCCAGUUGUAAAUGAGAUGUAUGUGAGUAAAAACUACUCACGCUGCCGCAGCAUCCCAUUGGUUCGAGCAAAUCCGUCAGGAUGUCCGGACUCCUGGACUCUGGUAGACGAGGAGGAAAAAGAGAUAUAUUUUCAGUGCUGAUUUCACUAUUUGACUGGAUAAAAGCAAUACGCUAUGCCAUAACAUGAUACCAAUACAUCAAAUAUGAUUAACAUAGCUAGCUCUAGAUGGCGAAAUGGUGAAUAUAAAUAUGUACUACUCCCUCUAACUCUAAAGAAAUAUAAGAGAGUUUAGAUCACUAAGGGAGUACCUCUGUUCUUAAAUAUAAGAUGUUUUGACAGUUUAAAUUGAAGUGCUAAAACUUCCUAUAUUUAGGAACAGAGGGUGUACAUACAAAUGGUGAAUAGCACUUCAAUUCUUCAAAACAAUGGCCAGAGACUGCAGAAAUAUGAACAAGAACAGACCAGCCAAAAACGUGCUGUUUGUUUUAGAUAGAAAAAUUGAAACAGAUUUGAUGCCCAAGUCACAGCCACGGCAAAUCCAAUAGAACCAAGAAGUUUGUCUGCACGAUGGCGAAUCUUGCUCAACAUAUUUGCCUGAAUCCGCACGCAACAGUUUCAGACGAUCCUAGGGUGUCGAUUUUUUUUGCCCAAAGGAGAUGCAUUCAUUAAAUUGGAGGAGACCUCCAACAACAAUAUGACGGUUUGAACGCCAAGGAAAAAACAUACGAUUACCACAUCGCUUAGAUGUAUAUUGUAGAUUUAGGAAAUGCCAUGAUAUGGAACCGGCAAAUAGCUUUCGGCAGCCAUGCAUGCAGCCUGGUUAUUACUCUAUUACAUUGUUGAGAGCAGAACGAAAUGCACAUAUACAUGCAUACCUUGCGCAGGACCAAGAAGCCUAUGUUCCUCCUCCUGAUGAUGAUGGGGGAUCCAACGGAAGAUUCAGAUUUCCCCGCGUUGGACGCCUGCCGGCCGUCGUCCACGGCAAGCCCACCCCGGCGGGCGGCGGGGGCUCGGAGAGAGGCGGGUGGCGCCGGGGCGGAACGGCCCUUGCCGUUAAUAGCAGCCGCUCAAACCGUCGAAACCGGAGGGCGUGGUGACAGGGGAUCUGCAAAUAGGCCGAGGGAGGGAGCGGCUGGGAACGGGGUUCUGGGAAGGGAAGACGUACGCGCGCGCGCGCGCGGGAGAGGGAGGGCGAGAAAGAAAAGAGGCGACCGACCCCACUCCCUCGUCCAAAAUUAGUUUGGUGAUUUAGGCCUGCGGAAUGGACCAAACUGGACGGCGACGUGCACGCGAGCACGGCCGUUCUGCCGGCGCAGCACAGCACAGCACAGCGCCAAGACGUGACAAGGUAAGGCACACGCCGGUGCUAGCGCCGAUCAGCGGUGGCAGCACAGCCCAGUAUUUCGGGUGGCGGUGGCCCUCCUGGCUCUGCUGCAUACCGUGGCGGCCAUGGUUGCUGCUGCGCCUUGUCCACACUCUUAUUUGCCGGCUUGAGUUUCUAUAUGAUUUUUUUUAAUAAUCAACAGAUGCAAGGUGCUUACAGAAACAAGCCGUUUUCCACUUUAAGCACUGGUGAUUAAGCAUAAGUUGAUUAUUUUUCAAACACCUACCUAUAUAAGCACUCAAAACAUCUAAAAAUAAAGGCGCACGUGCCGCUGCUUACGAUUUCUGAGGAAAUCUGUCGUCUUCACCUACUUAUCAUGGCUAGAGACUCGAAGCUCAUGACAAAGUAUGGAAAACUCUACAGAAUACAGUAGAGAGCAAUGCAGAAAAGGACGGGAUAGAGUGGAGAACAUUACCGCUUUUACUUUAUCUGACUGAUGGACGGCAGCUAAGAUUAUACUCCGUCUGAUUUCAUUUACUUUGCAUAUUAGCUUUGUCUUAAAUUAAAGCUAGUAACUUAUAAACAAUUACUAACACCUACAAUAUCUAAUCAAUACUAGUAACAUCAGAUUCAUCAUUGAAUGAAUGGCCAAAGUUUACAAAGUUUGACCUAGGGCAAAGCUAAUAUGCAGAGCCAACGCGUUUUGCAGCGAGCUUCUGGUAUAUUGCUAGUUGCAACUACCCUUUGAUGCUUUAGCUGCGAAGAACAACCAAACUGAACAUCCAUACAUACGAAAACAUGACCUAAAACCAAAAGAAGAUAAAUCUGGACAAGGUCAUUAAGCAAACAUGUUUUAAUGAACAUUUACCAAAUAACACCAACACUGAUGAAGGUUAACCCAACAAGCAUAGGUGAAUAGGCUGAUAGGCAUGCAUGUCUGCCGAUACUAGUGGCAAUUGAUGAUAGGACCGACGCCGAAUGCAAUUUACAAUCCUUGAGGAUUGGAUUACACACAACCAGCAACAAAUCGAAGAAACAAUGGCCCAUAAAUAUUUUUCUUGAAGCGACAUUUCAGUUGUCCACGAUGCAGGUCUUCAACCCAUGGCGUACUUCUGCGUCCAGCUGCGGGCUGUCGUCUCAUACUUUGACCGGUCCGUCUUGUACAUGUGGGCAAUCUCGGGAACAAGGGGAUCAUCCGGGUUGGGAUCGGUCAGCAGGGAACAGAUAGAGAGCAAGACCUGUACAACAUCAAAACAAGCAACAGAUCAAUAAUGGAUAGCAAGCAGUUUAUGAUAUGGCUAUAUGACGGUGGUUUCUGGGGAAGUGCAAAACUGAACAAACAUGCACUCCUUUUGGCUCUCACAUGUUAAACAACAAAAGUGUUCCUAAAUAUUGCAGAUUUUCACAAGGAUAUGGCAGGGAUAGCAUGUAGCAAACAAGUAAUGCAAAAAAUAGUGGUACUGGAGCAGACUUCUACAAGUGACUUGUAUUUUUAGUAAGCAUAUAGAGAGUUAUGUGUGCAAAUAGAAAUGAGGAUGGUGACGAGGAUGACCUUAGAGAUCGUCAAAGCAGGGCUCCACUGCUCCUUAAGAAUAUCAAGGCAUAUGCUUCCAUUGCUGUUGAUAUUAGGAUGGAAGACCUUUGUCUUAAAAGAUACCUAAAAGGAGAACAUACCAAUUAAAAUGGCAGAAAAAUGGGUUAAAAUGCAUUGUAGGGAGGAAUAUCGACACCUAAACAUUAGGAUACUGCACUUAUAGCAAUGUACAAAUAGUAGAACAAAUGAUGCAUCCAAACCCCUCAUGGUCCUACUAAGUCCUUCAAUGUGGAUUUUAGUCAAGAAGGAAGAUUGAGACGAAACGAAAAAACAUCAGGUGUUGUCUAUCAUAUGCUACAUACGUUAGCAACAGCAACAAGAUCAUUAUAGUGCUGUCAUAAACAACAUCAUCCAUGCCACUGUCUAUCCCACCUCAUGAAAACUGAAAAGUGAUUGUGUUUACUCACAAACAGGACAAUCCUAUAUACCGAAUUACUAACAGUGUUACAACUUACAACUUUGAAAGACCACAUCCAGAGAGAAGGAUAUUUCAGAACACACUGCAUACCAUGUUAGCUAUAUAUAACCAAAAGAUGAUUUUAUGGCAGGCCAUAAAGGGCCACACAGAGAUAGUUAUAAUACCAUGAGUGGACAUUGAGAAAAGCAUCAACAAGAAAGUGCACAUAACACCUAGCAGGAGUACAUGUUACGACCCUUCUACGCAAAAAGGUGAUCACAAGUGUUAUGGGCAUGAUGAGUGGAUCUAAAUUCUUUUCCCAAAAAAGAGAGGAUAAAGUAUAGGAUAACCCAAACCACUCAAACUAGAAAAAAUGGAUCUCUUUUAGGUGGCCCAGAAGAGUCGCAAAGAAGGCAAAUAUGGCAGCAGAUAAAGAUUAAUUAGCUGUUUCCUUAGUAAGCAAGUUAUAUUCCAGAGAUCAGAGAUUGAGAUUGAUAUCGCCUAUUGUUUAUGUGUCGCAGUUAGUAUUCUAUUAUUAGGAUAUCUACUCUAUAAAAGGACAGGUGAACCGGGCAGAUUAAUUGACUAAGAAAAUAUAGAACCAUUGUUGUUCUAUCUAACAGGCGAGUGUAACUCCCUGGAUGAGCAGGGUGGAAAUAACAGAUAACUUUCCAGAUUACAAUAUCAAGGACUAUGAAGGCAGGCAGAGCACAAAUAAUGAGGGUUUACGAAUAAGAGGAUGCUCCUAUGUCCUAUACCUUUGGUGGCUUGAAGGGGUAAUCCGGAGGGAAAUGAAUGUUCACUAAGAAAACACCACCGGCAUAGGGACUGUCAGGGGGUCCCAUAAUUGUUGCUUGCCAAUGAAACAUGUCCUCACCAGCAGGACCUAAACAAUUUACAAACAAAAAUUAGAGUGUAUGAGAUGACAUGCCAGGAUAAAGCAGGGAACAAAAGGUGUGAACGAAGAUAGUGUUGUAUGGCAUAUAGAUGUCCAAUGGAAACAAGUCAAAUUCAAACCUGCGCUGCAUGAUGUGGGCGGGUCCUUCUGCAGGUCCUUCAGUUCCUUGAGGAUGCGCUUUGAUGCCAUGACAAGCAACCUAGAAGGAGAGAGAAAAGCUGUUCUAGUUACAACAUGAUGAGGAACAAAAUUGCUGUAGCCAUGACCCCAAAUUUACUCCAUGAUGAUGACACAGCCUCAUAGCUGUGAAAAUGUAACUCAAACAUUCUACUCAGGAAGCUAAACAACCCAUCGAAAUCCUAUCAGAAGUAGGAAUCAGCAGUUCAGCCCAACACAGGAACAUAUCAAUGUUUCAUACUCCCAUGGCCUAUGUACUCAUGUAUUCAGUAAUAAGGGCAAUAAGGGAUCAAAGUAAACAGCAACUACAAAGCCCAGCUUAUGAGAGAACAAACACUAGCUCACUAGUACACAAUUGCCACUGGUGUGGAAACCCUGCAUCGAUUCGGGAUCUCAGAGACCAAAUAAACCUCGAACCUCACAUGAAUACAUGAGACUGGACGAGUGAUCCUCGUAAUUCUCAGAUAAUAUACUCGUAUGUAAGCAUGCGACAAACAAGCGAAUAACCUAACAACACCAAAUAAUUUUACGUAAGCAUCGCCGAGAACGUGAAUAACCUAACAACCUAGCGGCGGCGGCGACGACGACCAAACGCGCGGCCCCCGAGAGAUCGAACACAAUCGAGUCAAAUCACCCCAAGGGGCCGCGCACCGAAUCGGACCCCCGGCUGACAAAACCCCCAUCGAACCACGAACCCACCGCGGCGGCGACGCGCCAAACCGAACCAAAGCGCAGAUCUACCGGUGGGCGGCACCAACAAGCACCGGAACGAAAAACUCUAGAGAAACAUGGCGGCGGCGGGGACGGAUCCGGAUCGGGAGGGGGCUUACCCGCGCCGAUCUGCGACCGGGCAGGGAGAAUCACGCGAAGAAAGCUGGACGGGGGGAGAGAGGCGAAGGUUUCCACACCUUUUUGCAGCGAGAGGUUGGGGACGGCGAGGACAGAGGGACGGAGGACGCCUGCCUUUGGUGGUCUUUUUUGCUCCGGGUCCGCCCCUCGCUUUGUGGUGUGGUGUCGUGCGCGACGGGUUUGGUUUGAAACCGGGCGCCGGGUCCGUGGCCGGUAUUUAUAAUUGGCCCGGCCGGUCUGCGUUUGGAACGUUCCCCGGUCUUUUUUGUUAUUUUCGCUCUCGAAAUUACUGAUUGUCAGAAGAGUCAGGCAGAGGAAUCUAUUCGUUUCCGGUAGGCGAAAGAGUUUUUUAUGGAGCUAGACAAAUUCCAAUUUGCAAUAGCCACUAAGCUAGCCUUGAAAUGUGCUCGAUUUGUGCAGUUAAGUUUGUAUAUAGGGGCAUCUCCAACGUCGAUUCUCAAACCACCCGCAUACGUUUGGAUGUGUUGUGUCAUCCAACUUGAGACUAUAUCGGUCCGUCGAGUGGUCCAGACAUGUUUUUCCCUGCAAAUUGGAAGCAAAGUUGGGGAAUUUACAUGAGCGCGGCACCCACGAUGUUGCCAUCAUCGGUGCUAAGGAACGGAGCUUUCGCUUAACAACUCACUCGUGCCACCACGAGGCAACCAGGAGGAGCACGACGAUGUCAGAUCCCUAGAUCCGGGUCAGGACGCCGCCCCUCAAAGAGAGAGGGCACGUCCGAGGUACCCGCCGCAACACCUCACGUUGCCCACACAACCCGAGAGGAGAGUCACCACCAUCGCAAUGAUGCCCGCCAAAGAGCAAUGAUGCGGACCGCCAUCCGGAGCCACUGCCCCGGCAUCCCUGUCAUGAGAUACCGUACGCCGCUUACAUCAUAGCACACACAACCAUGGGAGGAAGAGCGAUGGCACUCCAUCUACUCCUAGCCCGGCAUCAGUCCCCGAGUCUGGGUACACUAGUAGAAAACAUGGCUUUGGUUCAGCCAGAAAAGAGCAUUAAUCCCGGUUGCAUUACGAACCAGGAAUAAUGUGAGCAUUAGUCCCGGUUCGAGCGGCUAGGCCAUCGUACAGGCAUUAGUCCCGGUUCAAAUGAGACCUUUAGUCCCGGUUGGUGCCACGAACCGGGACUAAAGGGUGCGAUGCCCAUUAGUACCGGUUCGUGGCACCAACCGGUACUAAAGGUUAGACCUUUAGUCCCGGUUCGAGCCACCAACCGGUACUAAUGGGGUUUGAGGCAUUAGUACCGGUUCAUGGCACGAACCGGUACUAAAGGUCCCAUUUUCAAACUCUACCCCCGCUGGAUCGCCUUUUCAAUUUUGUAAAAAGCAAAAGAAAAUGAUAAAAACUUCAAAAAUUAAAAUCCUUCCAGAUGUAGUUAUGUUACUACAUGUACUAGUUAGGAAAAUUCAAAAACUUAAAUUUGGACAUGUUUUGCAAAAAGUGUAGGGAAAAUGUAAAACGGCUAUAACUUUUGCAUAUGAUGUCAGAAAAAACGUAUAAUAUAUCAAAAUGUUCAGCACGAUUUUGACAGCCUACGGCCUGUUUGCAAAUUUUUAGAAUUCUCAAAUUCUAAAAGAAAAAAAGUUAUGCUCAAAUUUAUGUUUUUUUGAAUUUUUGUUAAAUCUGGUCAAACGAUGGUCAAAUUACUUAUUCAAGAAAUAUUAGUGUUACUAAAUAAUUAUUCAAGAAUAUUAGUGUUACUAAAUAAUUAUUUUAUUUUUUUGAAUUUUGGUCAAAUCUGGUCAAACAGUGGUCAAAAAAUGGUCAAACUAAUUGUUCAAGAAAUAUUAGUGUUACUAAAUAAUUAUUUCAGUUUUUUUGAAUUUUGGUCAAAUCUGGUCAAACUGUGGUCAAACUAUGGUCAAACUACUUAUUCAAGAAAUAUUAAUGUUACUAAAUAAUUAUUGUUUUUUAGAACAAAAUGAGUCUUGAAUAAAUAUUAGUUUUUGAAUAAUUAUUCAAACUAUGUUACCAUCACAUAGCGGUUUCUGAUACAAAAUGAGUCUACAAAGUAAUAAAUGAAGAUAUGUAUAUUACUACACCCAUGACACUUCCCACUAUGGAGGUAGUAACAUAAACUAGUAAUAUAUGUAUGUUACUAGUCUAAAUAAAUUACUCCCCACUAUAACUAGUCUUAGGCUUUUUUCCGUGGAUGGCAUAUGUGGGACAAGGGGACAACAGGAUUUGCCCGUGUGGUCGACCUCCAAGGUGAAAAGUAUAUGUCCAUUCCAUCCAGUAGAAUCAAAAGCACCACUCUGAGACGUACAUCUCUCGUUCUCUUCACCAAUCUAAGCACAAGGAGCAGGAGGUAGGCUGGCAGGUCGCAACUUGGAUUGGGUAGCCAUAGUCUGACUGACGUAAAACGUUGCCGUCGUUGGGGUAGGUCAACUUUUUCUCUGUUUUGACCAAAGCAAGCGCUUGCAUGCAACGCCACCGUUUGACCCAUACCGGAUCCGUUGAGCGCGUCGGUGUAGAAGCCAACGUUUUGGUUCCGGAGACCGCCUCCGUCAACAAAGGCAGCGGCAACUUGACCUGACUUGCAAUAUCAGCAACUGCCACCAGAUCCUCUUUCUUUCUGCCUAUAAGGAUUUGCUCCAGGGAUACUAUAACUGAACCAAGCAUAGUUUCAGUUGGAAAAAAUAUCAGUAACAGUAAAAUAUCAGUAACAGGCAAGUGACAGAUCAGAUUGCAAAUUCAGUGAAUCAGCAUCAACCAUUCUCUAAUGAAAAAUCUAUAAAUGCUCCUUAAUUUUAGAGCUCUCACGGUCAAUAAAGGUCUCCGAUUUGAAACUGGGUCACCCGAUUUUCACAGGGUCAUUUUUUUUUCUCCAGGAGCUCUUUUGUUCGAGUCUUUUAAGGCUGGUCAUAGUGGGGAGUAACUUAUGCUAGUGGCAUGCAUACCACUAGUCUAAGUUACUACCUUCAUAGUGCAAAGUAACAUAGUGGUAGUGUCAUAGAUGACUUCAUUUAUUGUUCCCUCCAUUUUUAUAUACAAGGUCACAAACUCAAAUUACAGGUACGAAGGUAAAAUUUAAUACAUGUUUUGCAACCUAACUUUUCUUUUCGUUUACUGGGAUCAUUAAUACAUCGCAUGCAUGCAAGAAAAAUGAGUGGAGAAAGUAGCUAAGUGACAUUACGACAGCAUGCAUGCAAGCAUUAAACAAGUUGCUAGUACGAGGAAACAUCAUUAAUUUUGCCUCGAUUAUCAUUGGUGGCCUUGUAUAGAUGUAAAAUGUAUAUUCCAUAGUGGCCUUGUAAGUAAAUGGAGGGAGUAGUUUGUAGACUCGUCUCCUCUUGAAACGCGCUAUGUUACAGUAACAUAUUAGAGCAAGUACAAUAAGGUGACGUAAGCAGACUAUAAGAACUAGAAUAUUAUAUCUUUACUUAUUUGGAGGAGAGAGAAGAGGAGAGAGAAGAGAGACGGGCUCUUGAUUAAUAGCCAUCUGCAGCACGAGCCCCGAGACGCUUUAUGAGGUUGUAAGGUGGGCCAACUACUAAUAAAGUACUACAUGUUUAAAACUUACUAUUGUACAUGCCGGCUAUGAGGUUGGCUCUAGAUGAUGUGGCAAAUCCUUAUAACCGACCGUUGUCUGUAUUAUCAAUCAUGCUCUUAUGUUACUCUAAACACAUCUUUCCUUAUUAAAUGAAUGCCACAUAAGCAAAUUUAUCUUGAAACACGCUAUGUUAUAGCUAAGCUACUCCCACUAUGACUAGCCUAAUCCACUACGUUCCCUAAUUUUGGAGCUCUCAUAGUCAAUUGAGGUCUCCUAUUUAGCAUUAGCUCGCCCGAUUUUGACUAGGCCAAUAUAUUUUUUUCUCAAGGAGCUUUCUCGUUCAAUUAUUUUUACGAAUGAUAAAUCCUAAACGUUCGGGAUUUGACAAUAGAAAUUGAACGUUUUUAUGGCAAUUUUAGUUGACGUGAAGAUGUCAAGUUUAGUUGGCAAGCACAACAAUGUCCUGACAAAAAAUAAACGGAGGACAUAAUUGGCAUGCUUACCAACUAAACUCGUCAUGGUCAAAAAAUAUAAAUUACCCCAAAAAAUUGUUCUAUUUGCCAUGGUUAAAUCCCGAACGUUCGGGACUUAUCGGUGUCCUUCUUUUAAUCAUUAUAUUCUCUGAGCAUAAUUGGUUUGAUGCCAAAAAUUGGCAUGCCGAUGUUUGGCAUUGUGCCAAAUAUUGGCCACUACUUGGUUGGUUACCGAGUCGUCUUGCCAUCUCAUAGAAAGUUGCCAAUAGUUGGCAAGUGUUGGUAUUGCCAAUAUUUGGCAAUGUCAGCAUUUGGCUAGCCAAAUAUUGGCAGCAAACCAAUCAUGCUCUCUAGGAGCUCCCCCAUUUGAUUGAGGUAUUCAAUUUUAGAUUUAGUUCAUGAUUUUGACUGAGUCAACGAUUUUUCAAAUCAAUCGAUAACCAAAAACAUUGAAAUCCACAAUACUAAAUAAAUAAAAUAUGGAAAUUCAUUUCAUGAUGAAUCUAAUGAUAUCAAUUUGAUAUUAUGGAUAUUUAUAUAUUUCUCUACAAAUUUGGUCAAACUUAAAGAGGUUUGACUUUUCAAAAAUUUAAUACACCUUAUAUUUUGAAAGAGUGGGAAUAGAAAAAUUUAUGAAAACCCAACACACCAACGGGGCAACAAAGUGCACCUAACCCUUCUAGUAUCAACUAUACUCCAUACUCUAAAGAGUCACAACACAACACCCUACAAAUGAUCAGCAGAGCUACCACCGAGAAGAUAAACCAAGAAUGGGAAACAAAUUUACUGCUAGUAAGAAUGAUCAGAAACCAUCAGAGAAGAUUCGGUAAAACAAAUGGCUAUCAGCUUAGUUUGCAGGUAGGCAGAGCGACACUAUCAGUAUCAGAUCUAUUGUUUGUUGCCUCAGGUGAUCUGGAUGGACCAAUUCUCAUCUAAGCUCUCCCAUAUUAUUUUUUCAUAAAUUCGUUCAAAGUUGGGUGGGGGCAUUGGCCCUCUCAUCUUAAUGCAUAGAUCCGCCAUUGCUAGUGUAUUUGUGAUGUAAAUGUAUAUUUAAUAUUUUUCUGCUCUUCCAUCCGCAACACCCUUCCUUUCAUAGUCAUUUUUUUUAAAACGUAGUAAAAAAAACACCCUUUCCUUUGGGGAAACCUCUGGAUGAAGAUGAAGCUGAGUCUGGAUCUCGGUCUUCCAGUCUCUUGAAGAUGCAUGUCAACCAGAUGACAAUCAAAAUCAACAAUAAUGCGCCUCCUGCAAUCAGGAUAGGUUUGUGACCCUUUUCCAAGAGUCUUUGUGCCAAGGGAGAUGGUGCAUUCGGAGAAGGAGAAGGUAGUCCGGCCCGUCAGCAGAAGUGACACNNNNNNNNNNNNNNNNNNNNNNNNNNNNNNNNNNNNNNNNNNNNNNNNNNNNNNNNNNNNNNNNNNNNNNNNNNNNNNNNNNNNNNNNNNNNNNNNNNNNNNNNNNNNNNNNNNNNNNNNNNNNNNNNNNNNNNNNNNNNNNNNNNNNNNNNNNNNNNNNNNNNNNNNNNNNNNNNNNNNNNNNNNNNNNNNNNNNNNNNNNNNNNNNNNNNNNNNNNNNNNNNNNNNNNNNNNNNNNNNNNNNNNNNNNNNNNNNNNNNNNNNNNNNNNNNNNNNNNNNNNNNNNNNNNNNNNNNNNNNNNNNNNNNNNNNNNNNNNNNNNNNNNNNNNNNNNNNNNNNNNNNNNNNNNNNNNCAGGAGUAUUUAUUACUCAAGAGCAAAGAAAUUCUUCCCUACACAGUUUAGGGAUAUUACAAGGACCGGAGCCAAUCCAAAUGAAAGUGCGAUCCUCCGUCCUACAAAAGUUUGCCAUAACAUGGCCAACAUUAUUUUGCUCUUUACUAAUAUGAGUAAGGGAUAUACAGUUCAUGCAAGUACCUACCGGCAUACUGCCCGCCAAAUGUAGGGUGUGGAUGUAAAAUGGAUGCUGUGCUAAUUUAAAAAUGUCUCUUGGAGACAAAAAAUUCGGAACAAAGGGAGUACUAGCUAGAUUUCGUGAAUGUUUUGUAGCCACUUUUUGGACUAGUAAGGUCAUGUCCAAUGCAUGGAUGCUUAGACUAUUAAAAUUAAUAAUUACUCAAUUAGCAUUGAUGGAAGAGUCGCUAGCCACAGCGCAUGGCGUCUAUUUGAGCGCUUACAAUAAUUUUUUCCGCUAAAAAUAUACUUGUAGCUCGAGCUCAGAAUAGUAGUUUCGCGUCGUGUGUCAAUUUUCCCUUUUCUUCCUCGGGUGCUUUCACCUUUUGAUCUCCAGGCAUCUUACUGACCAGAGGAACUGCAACCUGAGCAUGGACCAUCGUGUCUUUGCAUCGAUCCAGGUAACUAGGAGUUGUAUCUAGGACUGCAUGUGCAAAGUGACAAUCAAGACCUGCGUGCAAGGGAAAGUGUUUUUCGAGACUUGGCAAAAAUUCACAUUCUUAAGUUUCCAUUUUUUUUAACAGAUCAUGGGCUUAUAACCUGUGUAAAAACUUUGUGGAUUUUCGUAAAAAAAUGAUCAUUUGUUUAAGUUUAAGGACUCAUUUGAUUCAUAGGAUAUGAAAAUCAUACGAAAUGAGAUGACAUUUUAAUAGGAAAUUUUUCGUUGGGUCUAAGCUAAGAUAUUUUUCCUUUGAAAUGUGAAGGAUUGGUUCUUAACUUCUUAUCCUACCUAGGAGUAGGAAUCAUUCCUACGAAGCAAGGAUUUUUUUCCACAAAAAUUCCUAUCAUUUAGAAUUCCUACAAAAUUCUUCUAAACCAAAGGGGUCCUAAGUUUGUUUGAGCUAGCUAGGCUCGGGUGGUGGCAAUCUGGUCUAGCACCGACUCUGGCGUCACAUGCCACGAACCAACCGGCCUGGCCGGGCCGUUAUCGAGUCGUAAGCAAUGGCGGGCUCGACGAGGCUAUCUCGAUUGGAGGCAUGGCAUCGUCAGCUAUGCCGGGCAUGACGACGUUUGUCGGCAUCGUGGAAGGCGUGCAACCUCCCUCGACAGCGUGCAGCGGAGAUCAUGUGUCCGCUAGAUCCGUUAGUGGCACAGUACUUGGCCGUGGCGCCAUGUGGCAAAACAUGACGAAGGCCGACGCAAGGUUGUGGCAUUGUGCCGGUGGCAACUAGCCUCUUGGGUACGAUAUUUUGAUGGGGGGCGAAUCUAUUGAGCAACACGUUGACCCGUUCUCAGCUAGGCAUGGUUGAGCUGGGAUCGUAUGGAGGUGCAGUGACAAACUGACAACCCUUUCAGCUGGAAUUUUCUCCAGCGGCAUGUGGGUCCUUGGCCUCUCCUAACACCGAGAUCUGGCUACCAAGGAGUAAUCAGCUGGUAGCAAAGUUGUUAAGUGACAGUUCGACGACAAGUAUGCAUUCACUUUGGGUGAAACCCACAAUCUCACAUCCUCAAGUAGAUGCGGUACUAUCGACACACGCAUGCCAUGACCUUGUUGAAGGUGUUGGCUCUAGCUUUGCUUCAAGGAUGAAAAUUGUAUGUUUGACUUUUUGUUGAACCAGUCAACAUCAAUGCACGUGUGAUAAUUUCUUCUCGAAAGUUUUAUCUAGGCAUGAGGUAAUUACACAAAACCAUCAUAUUUUCUAGAUAAUUUUCUAGGCGUGCACGUGUGAUCAUUUUCUUCAAGGAUGAAAGCUUUGCGCUGCAACCUGCAACCACUCGGCAGUUCCAUCCAUCACAUGCAUCCACCUCAUCCAUAGCAGCAAAGCUAAAGUGCAAAACCAAAGCCAGAGCCAUUGGAUCAUCUUUUCUAUCUCUCUCGCUCUCUGUCGACUUUCUCUUGUACGUACACGCACUACAGGGCAUCGGCUAUUUGGUAGGUAGAAAAAGGCAGGCAACAACGCCCGAAGCUGAAUCUGGAAAAGUGGUAGGACAGACUGACAGACUGAUUAAUCUAGUCGUAGUUAGUCACCAUGCAUGAGUUACUGUGAUCCAACUUUGGAUGAUGAGAUCGUAAAGCUCCUGUGGUAGCUCUAAUCAAUAUGAAAGUAACUAUUUGUAUUCCAAAUAUAAUUUAUUUAUGAAACGAUCGUAAGGUUACCUCGGCCGAAGAAUAACAUAUUCAAUGNNNNNNNNNNNNNNNNNNNNNNNNNNNNNNNNNNNNNNNNNNNNNNNNNNNNNNNNNNNNNNNNNNNNNNNNNNNNNNNNNNNNNNNNNNNNNNNNNNNNNNNNNNNNNNNNNNNNNNNNNNNNNNNNNNNNNNNNNNNNNNNNNNNNNNNNNNNNNNNNNNNNNNNNNNNNNNNNNNNNNNNNNNNNNNNNNNNNNNNNNNNNNNNNNNNNNNNNNNNNNNNNNNNNNNNNNNNNNNNNNNNNNNNNNNNNNNUAACACAUACCUCAACCUCUCCUAAUAUGUUAGUAUGUCGUAUUUGUGAUGUACAUAUAUUUUUGUAUCAAUUGGACCACCCUGAGCUCCGGUUGACCUUCUGUGGAUGAGGAAGGGAUGCAGAAAAAUCCAGAACGGUUUUCUUGUCAGUGUUCAUAUCAGCUCCUUUGGCACAAGGAAGAAGUAGGCCAGCAGAAAGAAAGCUAGGAGCAGAAGAUGUUGCAUUGUUAGGAUGUGCAGAGAACAAGCAGAACCUGAAUUAUAAUCCGAGCGUCAUCAAUGUUUCACUCCUGCUGCACAAAGGAAAAGAGUACAUUACUGUCUAAAAUCACAAACCCUACCUACACAUCACUAUCUCAAACUUAGACUAAAAUCACGAAACUUCCGCUGCAAAUCGAUGGUGGCAGAGCAUAAAACCACUGAUAGCAGAAAGUUGGGGGCAGAUUACUGCACAGAAUGCACCUUUGAUGCCAAACGAGGUUUGGUGGUCAAUUGCUGUGAGCGCGUGUUCAAUCUGCACAAGCUUCCCCAAUCGGCUGAACGAAAUCAAGGGGGGAAAGUCAGGGUAGGUAGAAAUAAGCAACCCAAGCACAUUAGUUGUUGAACAUGGAGAUGAACAGCAAGCCACACGAAACAUAGGUGCAAAGCAAGAAGAGACCCGAGACCGAGGAGGGAGAAGCAUCACGGGUGAAGGAGGAUCCCGAUGUCUCUCUAUGAAUACAUCAUGGGAGGCCGAGGAGGGAGAACUAUCAUGGAAGAAUUCCUUGGCCGCUCCCCUGGUGUCGUCUCCUCCCUCCCUCCUUUGAGGUGUAGUAGUGGAGUACAAUGUGCGAUCGUGUGUGUGUGUGCGCCCAACAAACAACUAGUUUCAGUAAAACCUUCUAGCAUCUGAUGUCUAUAACAACUCUUAUUGAUAUCUACUUCCAACGCUGAAAACCUUCUAGUAUCUGUGCAGAGACUGAUAUGUAUAUACAACAACUCUUACUGAUAUCUAUAAUCCUACAAUAUUUCAGACUAUUUCCAAGUUUUAGCUGAAAAUGAUUUACCAAAAGUUUCAGUAAACUGCUAUUCAGACUAGUAGUUUCGAACACUGUUUUCCAAGCAUAAGAAGAGUAGCAAUCACUCACCAGGCGUCCCGGGCGUGACGAGGACGAUGUGGAAGAGUAGGCCGCUGCUGGGCAGGAGGUCAACGAGGAGUGGAAAAAGCCUACCAUCACAUGUGGGGAAGCACAUGACGAGGUUGGGGACACCCAGCUGCGUGACUAGCUUCUUCCUCAGGCGGAAUACGGACCUCCCCUUGAAAUCGAACGCGUCGUGGCAGAUGCGGGCCCCGUCGGCGCUCACCUCAUCACACACGAUCGCCCGCGCCUACAACAUUCUGGUCAAGCUUUCGGGGAGGGGGAGCUGCAAGUGAGCUGCAAAGAACCAUCAUGAUGCCAGCCAGUAGAUCAAACACAAAAAUGCCAUCAAGAAUAGGAAGUGUGGCAGCCAAGAAACAAAGGGUUUAACCAUGAACUUCUCCCGAGAAACGCAAAUCUUGCAAGAUGCCAGGAACAGAGCCAAGAAAGAAUGAAAUUAACAUGGGCUGAACGAAGGAAAUCAGGGAAAAAAGUCAGGGUGGGUACAAAUAAGAAACCCAAGCACACUAGUUGUCAAGCAUGGAGAUGAACAACAAUCCACACUAAACAUAGGUGCAAAGCAAGAAGAGAUCCGAGGAUGAGGAGGGAGAAGCAUCACGGGAGAAGGAGGAUCCCGAUGUCGAUCUCUGAAGACAUCGCGGCAGGCCGAGGAGGGAGAACCAUCAUGGAAGAAUUCCUUCGCCGCUCCCCUGGUGUCAUCUCCACCCUCCUUCCCUCCUCUGAGGUGUAGUAGUGGAGUACAGUGCGCGAUUGUGUGUGUGUGUGUGAGAGAGAGAGAGAGAGCGACUGUGUCUGAGCCGUGGGCGAGCUGCUUUUGGAGGGGCAUGGGCGAGGUGGCGGGCCGGCAGGGCUUUGUCCAGAAGCUGCAGAGGGCUUCUUGCUGCCUCUUACCCGUGGGCCCGCGUAUACGUUUUUGUUUGCUAAAACAACAUUACCACGUCUUUUACUUUGCGAGCGGAUUCUUUCAUAUUUCGGGGGGCAUGGCCACGUGGCUCUCUACGAGACGGAUGUGUAUGUGUAUGUGAGAGAGAGAGAGGGAGAGAGAUCACGGCACAUGCCUAGCUGUUUUACAGUUUCAAGUUUUUGACAGGUGCAGUAAUGGUCAUGAUAAAAGAAUAAAGCACCUACUACCAAAGCUACAAAUCAAAGAGGAAACAUCAUCACAGUGAAACACCUCAGUCUACAGUGCGCGAUUGUGUGUGUGCGCGCGCCUGAGCCAUGGGGCGAGGUGGCGGACCAGGCGGGGAGUUGGCCAGGGGCUGCGAAGGGCUUCUUGCUGCCUCUGACCCGUGGGCCCGGGUAUACGCUUUUUUCUUUGCUGAAACAACAUUACCACGUCUUUCUUUCCCGUUGUUAUAUGGAUACGUCUGGGAAGGUAAACACAUAGCUGGUAAAUAAAACUUGGUAAUGUCGAUAAUCUGUUCUGUGGUUGCAAUACGGCCGGUGUUCUUGUCACAUCCCUAGUUUUGGUACGAUCUAGGUUAGCUAUUGGAGUUGCAUCAUGUUUAAAUUUCAAAUGAAUUUGGAAUUGGGGACAUGUGAAAGCCUCAGAAAUCAUUUUAAAAAUGAUGAAGAUAAAAAUUGCUUCAAAUAGGUCCAAGAAAAUGUUCCUGUUUUCCUCUGAAAAUAUUGGCCAGAGUUAAAAUUCAAAUCAAUAUUUUAGGAGCUCAGAAAUAUUUAU
rnacentral:lncRNA from 1 species